rnacentral:rRNA from 1 species
AACGAACGCUGGCGGCAUGCCUAACACAUGCAAGUCGAACGAAGCCUUCGGGCUUAGUGGCGCACGGGUGCGUAACGCGUGGGAAUUUGCCCUUGGGUUCGGAAUAACAGUUAGAAAUGACUGCUAAUACCGAAUGAUGUCUUCGGACCAAAGAUUUAUCGCCCAAGGAUGAGCCCGCGUCGGAUUAGCUGGUUGGUGAGGUAAAGGCUCACCAAGGCGACGAUCCGUAGCUGGUCUGAGAGGAUGAUCAGCCACACUGGGACUGAGACACGGCCCAGACUCCUACGGGAGGCAGCAGUGGGAAUAUUGGACAAUGGGCGAAAGCCUGAUCCAGCAAUGCCGCGUGAGUGAUGAAGGCCUUAGGGUUGUAAAGCUCUUUUACCCGGGAUGAUAAUGACAGUACCGGGAGAAUAAGCCCCGGCUAACUCCGUGCCAGCAGCCGCGGUAAU